rnacentral:rRNA from 1 species
CCACGCUGUAAACGAUGUCGACUUGGAGGUUGUUCCCUUGAGGAGUGGCUUCCGGAGCUAACGCGUUAAGUCGACCGCCUGGGGAGUACGGCCGCAAGGUUAAAACUCAAAUGAAUUGACGGGGGCCCGCACAAGCGGUGGAGCAUGUGGUUUAAUUCGAUGCAACGCGAAGAACCUUACCUGGCCUUGACAUGUCUGGAAUCCUGUAGAGAUACGGGAGUGCCUUCGGGAAUCAGAACACAGGUGCUGCAUGGCUGU